rnacentral:rRNA from 1 species
UACGUAGGGGGCAAGCGUUGUCCGGAUUUAUUGGGCGUAAAGAGCGUGUAGGCGGCCAGGCAGGUCUGCUGUGAAAACUCGAGGCUCAACCUCGAGACGUCGGCGGAAACCAUCUGGCUAGAGUCCGGAAGAGGAGAGUGGAAUUCCUGGUGUAGCGGUGAAAUGCGCAGAUAUCAGGAGGAACACCAAUGGCGAAGGCAGCUCGCUGGGACGUGACUGACGCUGAGACGCGAAAGCGUGGGGAGCAAACAGG